AGCUUUGCGCAGUGGCAGUAUAGUAGCCAAUGAGGUUUAUCCGAGGCGCGAUUAUUGCUAAUUGAAAACUUUUCCCAAAAGAAAUAACUUCACCAUUAAAAUGCUUUCUUCCAUUUCUUUUUCCUGCUCAAGAAG